GAUGAACGCUAGCGGGAGGCCUAACACAUGCAAGCCGAGCGGUAUUGUUUCUUCGGAAAUGAGAGAGCGGCGUACGGGUGCGGAACACGUGUGCAACCUGCCUUUAUCUGGGGGAUAGCCUUUCGAAAGGAAGAUUAAUACUCCAUAAUAUAUUGAACGGCAUCGUUUAAUAUUGAAAGCUCCGGCGGAUAGAGAUGGGCACGCGCAAGAUUAGCUAGUUGGUGAGGUAACGGCUCACCAAGGCGAUGAUCUUUAGGGGGCCUGAGAGGGUGAUCCCCCACACUGGUACUGAGACACGGACCAGACUCCUACGGGAGGCAGCAGUGAGGAAUAUUGGUCAAUGGGUGCAAGCCUGAACCAGCCAUCCCGCGUGAAGGACGACUGCCCUAUGGGUUGUAAACUUCUUUUGUAUAGGGAUAAACCUACCCUCGUGAGGGUAGCUGAAGGUACUAUACGAAUAAGCACCGGCUAACUCCGUGCCAGCAGCUGCGGUAAUACGGAGGGUGCAAGCGUUAUCCGGAUUUAUUGGGUUUAAAGGGUCCGUAGGCGGACUUAUAAGUCAGUGGUGAAAGCCUGUCGCUUAACGAUAGAACUGCCAUUGAUACUGUAAGUCUUGAGUAUAUUUGAGGUAGCUGGAAUAAGUAGUGUAGCGGUGAAAUGCAUAGAUAUUACUUAGAACACCAAUUGCGAAGGCAGGUUACCAAGAUAUAACUGACGCUGAGGGACGAAAGCGUGGGGAGCGAACAGGAUUAGACACCCUGGUAGUCCACGCCGUAAACGAUGCUAACUCGUUUUUGGGCUUUAGGGUUCAGAGACCAAGCGAAAGUGAUAAGUUAGCCACCUGGGGAGUACGCUCGCAAGAGUGAAACUCAAAGGAAUUGGCGGGGGCCCGCACAAGCGGUGGAUUAUGUGGUUUAAUUCGAUGAUACGCGAGGAACCUUACCAAGACUUAAAUGGGAAUUGACAGCUUUAGAAAUAGAGCUUUCUUCGGACAAUUUUCAAGGUGCUGCAUGGUUGUCGUCAGCUCGUGCCGUGAGGUGUUAGGUUAAGUCCUGCAACGAGCGCAACCCCUGUCACUAGUUGCCAUCAUUCAGUUGGGGACUCUAGUGAGACUGCCUACGCAAGUAGAGAGGAAGGUGGGGAUGACGUCAAAUCAUCACGGCCCUUACGUCUUGGGCCACACACGUAAUACAAUGGCCGGUACAGAGGGCAGCUACACAGCGAUGUGAUGCAAAUCUCGAAAGCCGGUCUCAGUUCGGAUUGGAGUCUGCAACUCGACCCUAUGAAGCUGGAAUCGCUAGUAAUCGCGCAUCAGCCAUGGCGCGGUGAAUACGUUCCCGGGCCU
rnacentral:rRNA from 1 species